rnacentral:rRNA from 1 species
UGCUUACACAUGCAAGUCGAACGAUGAAGCCUUUCGGGGUGGAUUAGUGGCGAACGGGUGAGUAACACGUGGGCAAUCUGCCCUUCACUCUGGGACAAGCCCUGGAAACGGGGUCUAAUACCGGAUAACACUCUGUCCUGCAUGGGACGGGGUUAAAAGCUCCGGCGGUGAAGGAUGAGCCCGCGGCCUAUCAGCUUGUUGGUGGGGUAAUGGCCUACCAAGGCGACGACGGGUAGCCGGCCUGAGAGGGCGACCGGCCACACUGGGACUGAGACACGGCCCAGACUCCUACGGGAGGCAGCAGUGGGGAAUAUUGCACAAUGGGCGAAAGCCUGAUGCAGCGACGCCGCGUGAGGGAUGACGGCCUUCGGGUUGUAAACCUCUUUCAGCAGGGAAGAAGCGAAAGUGACGGUACCUGCAGAAGAAGCGCCGGCUAACUACGUGCCAGCAGCCGCGGUAAUACGUAGGGCGCAAGCGUUGUCCGGAAUUAUUGGGCGUAAAGAGCUCGUAGGCGGCUUGUCACGUCGGAUGUGAAAGCCCGGGGCUUAACCCCGGGUCUGCAUUCGAUACGGGCUAGCUAGAGUGUGGUAGGGGAGAUCGGAAUUCCUGGUGUAGCGGUGAAAUGCGCAGAUAUCAGGAGGAACACCGGUGGCGAAGGCGGAUCUCUGGGCCAUUACUGACGCUGAGGAGCGAAAGCGUGGGGAGCGAACAGGAUUAGAUACCCUGGUAGUCCACGCCGUAAACGUUGGGAACUAGGUGUUGGCGACAUUCCACGUCGUCGGUGCCGCAGCUAAC